UAUAUAACUGUCAGUGGCACAUUGACACAAAGGUCGAACAAGACAGGAUUUCCCCUAUGUGGCGGUGCUGGCACCUGGGGAGCUGUGAGGCCACACUCAGAAGGAAACUACACAUCGUGAAUUGAAAACAAUCUUUGCUGACUGGAGGACUCUGGGCUCUUCCAUGCCGUCUUUGCUACAAAACCACUCUGCAUUUCCAGAAAGUGACUUGCUCCAAGCCCCCCUAGAUGUGCCUGGUACUUUACGAAGCACGUAAAUUCUGCCUACCCAAGUCACUGACACUCUAAGUGAAGGAUACAACAGAGGGAGGAGAGAAGAACAUGAGGAAGCUCCAAGAGUUUGUUCAGCCAGCUCGAAACAGGACGCAGUAUGUGAACCAGUGCUUUCUCACCACACACCUGACAAGGCUAUUCCAGGUCUCACACAUCCACAGGACUGACUCAGCCUGCACAUCUGGAGUGGCACAAAGCUGAUGGAGUGGAUGGCCCUUAGUCUCCAUGCAUUUAUGCCAUCAAACACAGAAGUCAGGGAAAGGGGAACACAUUCGUGUCUGACUACUGUUCGCUGUGUGCUUUUCUCAGUGUUUUAUAUUCUGCAAAUGAAGGGUUAAUGAGUACUAAAAAUAUAUGCAUGUGGGUUAAACAGAUCUAUCUAUCUAUCUAUCUAUCUAUCUAUCUAUCUAUCUAUCUAUCUAUCUAUCUAUCCCAUGUCCAUCAUCAUGGUAUCUGAAGCUACCUGAGCUGUUGUUUUUCUGUUGGCUAGAGAUGCCAGGGAACCUGCUGAAGGUGAUACCUUAUUGCAAGCUGUGCUACUCAGCUCCUGUCUGUUUAAUUAGCCAGAGUCUGGUUCUCUCUGCAUGUUCCUGAUUUUUCAAUAAAUGGCAAGCAUGGCUGUC
rnacentral:lncRNA from 1 species